UACGUAGGUCCCGAGCGUUGUCCGGAUUUAUUGGGCGUAAAGCGAGCGCAGGUGGUUUAUUAAGUCUGGUGUAAAAGGCAGUGGCUCAACCAUUGUAUGCAUUGGAAACUGGUAGACUUGAGUGCAGGAGAGGAGAGUGGAAUUCCAUGUGUAGCGGUGAAAUGCGUAGAUAUAUGGAGGAACACCGGUGGCGAAAGCGGCUCUCUGGCCUGUAACUGACACUGAGGCUCGAAAGCGUGGGGUGCAAACAGG
rnacentral:rRNA from 1 species